AAGACUAUAUUUUCAGGGAUCAUUUCUACAGUUCAUUACUGGAGAAGUUUCUCUGAAGGAGCAGAGCACCAGAAACCACGAGGAGGAGAUAUCUUCUCUCUUGAGCAUGAAGUCACUUUCAAGGCUGCUUCCCUGCAGCUGUCUUUUGCCACUGGUGAGGGGGUCUUUCCAUCUGAGAGAGUACGAGGGAAAAAAUACGGUCUCAGGU
rnacentral:snoRNA from 1 species